rnacentral:rRNA from 1 species
CGCGCAGGCGGCCAUUUAAGUUUGACGUGAAAGCUCCUGGCUUAACUGGGAGAGGUCGUUGGAAACUGAAUGGCUUGAGGCAAUGAGAGGGGUGCGGAAUUCCCGGUGUAGUGGUGGAAUGCGUAGAUAUCGGGAGGAACACCAGUGGCGAAAGCGGCACCCUGGCAUUGUCCUGACGCUGAAGUGCGAAAGCGUGGGGAGCGAACG